CAGAGGGUGCGAGCGUUGUCCGGAAUCACUGGGCGUAAAGGGCGCGUAGGCGGCCCGGUUAGUAGGGGGUGAAAUCUCGUGGCUCAACCGCGAGGCUGCCUCCUAAACUGCCGGGCUCGAGCACAGUAGAGGCAGGUGGAAUUCCCGGUGUAGCGGUGGAAUGCGUAGAGAUCGGGAAGAACAUCGGUGGCGAAGGCGGCCUGCUGGGCUGUUGCUGACGCUGAGGCGCGACAGCGUGGGGAGCAAACAGGAUUAGAUACCCUGGUAGUCCACGCCGUAAACGAUGGGCACUAGGCGCCGGGGGGAGCGACCCCUUCGGUGCCGUCGCUAACGCAAUAAGUGCCCGCCUGGGGAGUACGGCCGCAAGGCUG
rnacentral:rRNA from 1 species